CGGGGCUGGCGCUGACGCUGCCCGGGCUCGGCGGCGCGAUGGCGGCGGCGCGAGGCUAUGGUUGACAUCGCUGUCUAGCUCUCCUGAGGAGGAGUGGGAGGAGCUAGCAGGAUGGCAGAAGGAGCUGUAGAAGGACGAGAUGAGGGACAACUACAAGACUUUGAUCUCACUGGGCGUGCUGUCACCAAACCAGACGUUGCAUCCCUGACUGAACAUGGGGAAGAGCCAUGUGUCCGGGCUCACCAGGAUUCGAGGGAAAGAGACCUUUCUAAAGGGGUCUCCUUUGCAGAUGAUGGAAUCAAGUGGAAGACUGAAGAGAAUCAUCAGCAGGGAAAUUCUGAGGGUUUGGCAGAGCACAGGAAUUUAUCACAGAGAGAGAAAGCAAAUAGCUCUGAGGGAAAUACGUGUGAGGGUGAACGUGGGCCAGCCGGCCAACACAGGAACAUAGGGGAUGAGAGCGUGGAGAAAUCCACUCCAAAUGAAAGACCUUUCAGCAAAUGCCAAAACAUUCCUAUUCGCACAGGAGAGAGACCCCAUAAAUGUACUGAGUGUGACAAAAGCUUCACUCGCCGCUCACAUCUUCUUCAGCACCAGAGAAUCCACACGGGGGAGAGACCCUAUAAAUGUACCGAGUGUGAGAAAAGCUUCCGACAGAGAUCAGAGCUGAUUGAUCAUCAGCGAACGCAUACUCAAGAGAAACCCUACAAAUGUGACAAGUGUGGGAAAAGGUUCAUUCGGAGCACACGGCUUAUUCAGCAUCAAAAUGUUCACAAUGGAGUGAAACCCCACAAGUGCCCCCAGUGUGAGAAAAGUUUUAGCUGGAUCUCAUCAGUUAUUAAACACCAGAGAGUCCAUACAGGUGAGAAACCUUAUAAAUGCCCCGACUGUGAGAAAAGCUUCAGCUGGAGCUCGACUCUUAUAAAGCAUCGGAGACUCCACACAGGAGAGAGACCCUAUAAAUGCCCUACCUGUGCAAAGUGUUUUGUACAGAGUGCAAAUCUUAUUAAACAUCAGAGAGUCCACACAGAACAGAAACCCUAUACAUGCGGGGAAUGUGAGGAAACCUUUUUGAUCAGGUCUCAUUUCAUUCUGCAUCAGAGAAUGCACGCAGGAGAGGAACUCUACAAGUGCGAUGGCUGUGAGGAGUGGUUUGGUCUUGUCUCGGACCUUCAUAAACAUCAGAAGAGCCACAGAGGAAAGAAGCCCUAUAAAUGCUCCGAAUGCGACAAAAGCUUCAACAAGAGUUCAAAUCUUAUUAAGCAUCAGAGAAUCCACACGGGGGAGAGACCCUAUAAGUGUCCCGACUGUGACAAAAGCUUCAUUCAGAGCUCGCACCUGAUGCUCCAUCAGAGAGCGCACAGGGGAGAGAAACCCUACAAAUGCCUGGACUGUGAGAAAAGUUUCCACCAGAGCUCCCAUCUCAUUCAGCACCAGAGAGUCCACACGCAAGAAAAACCCUUUAAAUGUCCUGAGUGCGAGAAAAGUUUCAGCCGAAGCUCAGUGCUAAAUAAACACAAAUUAAUCCACGUGGGAGACCAGAGCUAUAAAUGCAGCCAGUGUGAGGAAACCUUCACUAGCAACUCCCGCCUUCUUCAGCACAAGAGAACCCACCAUGUGGAAAGACCUUACACAUGCCCUAGCUGUGAGAAGAGUUUCAGUCGCAGUUCGCAGCUUAUGCUCCAUCAGAAAACCCACGCAGCAGAGAAACCUUACAAGUGUGCUGACUGUGACAAAGGCUUCGUUUACAGCUCACAUCUAAUUCAGCAUCAGAGAACUCACACUAGAGAACGACCUUAUAAAUGUCCAGUGUGUGAGAAAAGCUUCAUUCAGAGCUCACAUCUCCUUCAGCAUCAGAAAAUCCACACGGGAGAGAGACCUUUUAGAUGUAGUGAUUGUGAGAAAACCUUCAAUCGGAGCUCCAACCUUAUUAAACACCAGAGAACUCACACCAGGGAGAACCCGUAAGAGAUGCUUCCAUAUGAACUCCACGCUCUUGACAAUAAGAGUAUUCACACAGAAGGAAAAUCCUAUAAAUAUUCCAUGGGUAUUGAUGAAAUAGCCUUUUUUCUUGUCCAUGGAGGCUUUGUUCAUCUGUAAUUGGUGGUGCUGGAACUGAUCGUUUGUCCCUGGAGAUCUCAACUAACUACACAGUCCCAGGGAAUCUACAACGCUGAGAAAUCAGUCUGAGGAAAGCUUCCUUUGGUGUUCGUUCAGCAGGAAAGUUGGAGAACCCACAAGAUAGGCGCACCUGGGGUAAGCUGAUCAAACAAUGCAGGAGAAAGAUCCAUGUGCAGUCAGCCAGGUCCUCCUCCUCUAGGAUCCGUCUGGAGUUACUCUGUGUAUGACCCUUGGGUGUGGAGCCCAGCCUUCCCAAAUGUAUUUUCCCCCCUUCCUGUCUCCCAAGAAGCCAGUCUUACAGCCCCUUCUCUGAACACCUGGGCAGCAGGAAGGGGAAGCUGAGGCGAAGUUAACCAUUGUUUACUUGGGAGCAGGUAAGGCCCCUGCACCUUGUCACACCCUGUAACUAGGCUCAGGGCUGAGUUGGACUAGAAAUCCCAAAUCAGUGGGGGCUGGUUUGGAAACCUCUCUCAGACUAUUUUGGGGUUUGCAGAGUUCACAAAGCUAAUUUUCCCUAGAAAUUGAAGAUUCCUUGCCUGUAGAAAAAGCCAGUCUGAGCCUGUAGACCCUGUCCAUUCUGUAUAUUGGGAUUGGUUUCUUACUGGGCAUUCUCUGUAACCCCCUCUUUUUAGUCUUCCUCUAUGAGAGGAGCAUUGAGCCCUAUAACAUUGUUGGCCCCUUUUAACCCCAGCAGCUAGUCAAAGCUGGGGGCCUUGGGGAUGUUCCAGCUGGGAAUAGAA